rnacentral:tRNA from 3 species
UUAAUUGAAGCCAAAAAGAGGCUUAUCACUGUUAAUGAUAGAACUGAGAUUGAUCUCCAAUUAAG